rnacentral:rRNA from 1 species
UACGUAGGGUGCGAGCGUUGUCCGGAAUUAUUGGGCGUAAAGAGCUCGUAGGCGGUCUGUCGCGUCGGUCGUGAAAACUUGGGGCUUAACCCUGAGCUUGCGGUCGAUACGGGCAUGACUGGAGUUCGGCAGGGGAGACUGGAAUUCCUGGUGUAGCGGAGAAAUGCGCAGAUAUCAGGAGGAACACCGGUGGCGAAGGCGGGUCUCUGGGCCGAUACUGACGCUGAGGAGCGAAAGCGUGGGGAGCGAACAGG